GAAGACAGGAACGAGGAGUAGCCGAAGUCAAGGGAUGCCAGAGGUCAGAGUAAACGUAGUCAGAAGCCGGGGUCAAUAACAAGUAGCAGCUCAAACCACAGGAACACUUGUACAAAGCACACAACAGGAUCAAAGACUUGAUGCUGAUCACAGGGCGAGGCUGAGUUUAAAUACCCUGCUAAUGUCUGAUCAGGGUCAGGUGAAGCACAG